UACAGAGGUCUCAAGCGUUGUUCGGAUUCAUUGGGCGUAAAGAGCUCGUAGGCGGACUGUCACGUCUGCUGUGAAAAGCUGGGGCUUAACCCUGGCCUUGCAGUGGAUACGGGCAGACUAGAGGUAGGUAGGGGAGAAUGGAAUUCCCGGUGUAGCGGUGAAAUGCGCAGAUAUCGGGAGGAACACCGGUGGCGAAGGCGGUUCUCUGGGCCUUACCUGACGCUGAGGAGCGAAAGCGUGGGGAGCGAACAGG
rnacentral:rRNA from 1 species